AUUGAACGCUGGCGGCAGGCCUAACACAUGCAAGUCGAGCGGGGUUUUCGGACCUAGCGGCGGACGGGUGAGUAAUGCGUAGGAAGCUGCCCGAUAGAGGGGGAUACCAGUUGGAAACGACUGUUAAUACCGCAUAAUGUCUACGGACCAAAGUGUGGGACCUUCGGGCCACAUGCUAUCGGAUGCGCCUACGUGGGAUUAGCUAGUUGGUGAGGUAAUGGCUCACCAAGGCGACGAUCUCUAGCUGGUUUGAGAGGAUGAUCAGCCACACUGGAACUGAGACACGGUCCAGACUCCUACGGGAGGCAGCGGUGGGGAAUAUUGGACAAUGGGCGCAAGCCUGAUCCAGCCAUGCCGCGUGUGUGAAGAAGGCCCUCGGGUUGUAAAGCACUUUCAGCGAGGAGGAAGGGGUGUGUGUUAAUAGUACACACCUUUGACGUUACUCGCAGAAGAAGCACCGGCUAACUCUGUGCCAGCCGCCGCAGUAAUAC
rnacentral:rRNA from 1 species